AGCAGCCGCGGUAAUUCCAGCUCCAAUAGCGUAUAUUAAAGUUGUUGCAGUUAAAAAGCUCGUAGUUGAAUUUCGGGGUUAGUAGGCUGGUCGUGCCACAGGUAUGUACUGGUCUAACUGAUUCCUCCUUCCUGAUGAACCGUAAUGCCAUUAAUUUGGUGUUGCGGGGAGACUGGACUGUUACUUUGAAAAAAUUAGAGUAGUUUAAAGCAGGCUAACGCUUGAAUACAUUAGCAUGGAAUAAUGAAAUAGGACGUUCGAUCUUAUUUUGUUGGUUUCUAAGAUUGACGUAAUGAUUAAUAGGGAUAGUUGGGGGCAUUAGUAUUCAAUUGUCAGAGGCGAAAUUCUUGGAUUUAUUGAAGACUAACUACUGCGAAAGCAUUUGCCAAGGAUGUUUUCAUUAAUUCAAGAACGAAAGUUAGGGGAUCGAAGACGAUCAGAUACCGUCGUAGUCUUAACCAUA
rnacentral:sRNA from 1 species